rnacentral:rRNA from 1 species
AGUGAACGCUGGCGGCAUGCCUAACACAUGCAAGUCGAACGGCAGGACAAGAAGAUCUAGCGCUUACGGGUGGGGAGUGGGGGGCGGGUGAGGAGUACAUCGUAAUCUACUUUUUCGUGGAGGAUUACGUAGGGAAGCUUACUCUAAUAUCGGAUACUGGCUACGGUUGAAAUCAGGGGAUCUUCUUCGCUUGCGGGUGAGAAUGAGCCGAGUUCGGAUGAGCUGGUUGGCGGGGUAAAGGACCGCGAAGGCGUGGAUCCGUAGCUGGUGUGAGAGGAUGAUCCGCCCCACUGGAACUGAGACACGGUCCAGACUCCUACGGGAGGCAGCAGUGGGGAAUAUUGGACAAUGGGCGCAAGCCUGAUCCAGCCAUACCGCGUGGGUGAAGAGGGCCUCCGGGUUGUAAAGCCCUUUUGUUGGGAAAGAAACGCAGCAGGUUAAUACCCCGCUGUUCUGACGGUACCCAAAGAAUAAGCACCGGCUAACUUCGUG